rnacentral:rRNA from 1 species
AUUGAACGCUGGCGGCAUGCCUUACACAUGCAAGUCGAACGGUAACGCGGGGCAACCUGGCGACGAGUGGCGAACGGGUGAGUAAUGCAUCGGAACGUGCCCAUUAGUGGGGGAUAGCCCGGCGAAAGCCGGAUUAAUACCGCAUACGACCUACGGGUGAAAGCAGGGGAUCGCAAGACCUUGCGCUAUUGGAGCGGCCGAUGUCAGAUUAGGUUGUUGGUGGGGUAAAAGCCACCAAGCCGACGAUCUGUAGCUGGUCUGAGAGGACGACCAGCCACACUGGGACUGAGACACGGCCCAGACUCCUACGGGAGGCAGCAGUGGGGAAUUUUGGACAAGUGGGCGCAAGCCUGAUCCAGCCAUGCCGCGUGC